rnacentral:rRNA from 1 species
CGUUCACUGUGAACAAAUCAGGACGCUUAGAGUAUGGUUACAAGAAUGACUCAGCGCAGUAUGAAUUCUUUGUUUUCUUCGGAAAACAAGCUCAACGAGAGCCAUCGGGGGUAGAUCUAUCUCAUGACGAGUGGUGGAAUACGGUGACUCAUGAGAGAGAAACGGAGGCGAAGGCGUCUACCUAGAGGGUUUCUGUCGAUCAAGGGCGAGAGUAGGAGUAUCCAACAGGAUUAGAGACCCUGGUAGUUCCUACUAUAAACGAUGCCGACAGGAGUUUGUCAUUUUAUAAUGGCAGAAUCUUUGGAGAAAUCAUAGUUCUUGGGCUCUGGGGGAACUACGACCGCAAGGCUGAAACUUGAAGGAAUUGACGGAAGGGCACACCAGGGGUGGAGCCUGUGGCUUAAUUUGAAUCAACACGGGGAAACUUACCAGGACCAGAUGUUUUUUAUGACUGACAGGCUUUGGGUCUUUCAGGAUAUGAUUUUUGGUGGUGCAUGGCCGUUGGUGGUGCGUGGGUUGACCUGUCUAGCGUUGAUUCAGCUAACGAGCGAGAUUAUCGCCAAUUAU